GAUGAACGCUGGCGGCGUGCUUAACACAUGCAAGUCGAACGGUGACGGCGGAGCUUGCUCUGCUGGAUCAGUUGCGAACUGGUGAGCAACCCGUGAGCAAUCUGCCCCUGACUCUGGGAUAUGCGCUGGAAACGGCGUCUAAUACUGGAUACGAGCUGCGAAGGCAUCUUCAGCAGCUGGUAAGAAUGUCGGUAAGGGAUGAGCUCGCGGCCUAUCAGCUUGUUGGUGAGGUAAUGGCUCACCAAGGCGUCGACGGGUAGCCGGCCUGAGAGGGUGACCGGCCACACUGGGACUGGGACACGGCACAGACUCCUACGGGAGGCAGCAGUGGGGAAUAGUGCACAGUGGGCGGAAGCCUGAUGCAGCAACGCCGCGUGGGGGACGACGGCAUUCGGGUUGUAAUCCUCUUUUAGCAGAGAAGAAGCGAAAGUGACGGUACCUGCAGAAAAAGCUCCGGCUAACUACGUG
rnacentral:rRNA from 1 species